CGGGAGUUACACCGAUCCGGGGUGCUCGUUCUACAAACUUCUACGGUAAUACUGGGUGAUCCAAAAGUUUUCCAAACCAGGCGGGCUGCUUAUUAAUUGGUUCUACCGGAACUGUGUGCGACAAGAGUGUUACGAGGAGAAGGAAGGAUAGGUAUUUUAGGACAUACAGUUGAACUACAAUGGCAGAAGGAUACAGGAAAAAUCGAUACCUCAGUAUCAGCAUACUUCAUGUCAUCACCGUGAUGUGUCAAGGACCAAACCGAAGAACCCACUCCGGGCGCCAAAAUACACAGAACUGUGGUUGACAAACAAUUUCAUUGAGAUCAAGACUGGAUCUCCAGUUGCUACUGUUGCUACAAAAUGCAAUGUUCUCAGAACUAUUCUAAGGUACAAGAGAAUGGAUGGGAGAUGGAUCGCAUCAAAGUCUUUUUGAUUCAUGGAGGAAACUGAAGGGAACUGAAAAUGCGCCACAGAUACCAA